rnacentral:rRNA from 1 species
GACGAACGCUGGCGACGCGCUUAACACAUGCAAGUCGAACGGAAAGGCCUGCUUUCCCUUGUGGAUUGCGGGUACUCGAGUGGCGAACGGGUGAGUAACACGUGUGUGAUCUGCCCCCAACUUGGGUAUAAGCCUGGGAAACUGUGUCUCAUUCCCGCUUGGACUGUAGGGUGGUGCCUGUAGUGGUACACGUUCUUCUCGUGGUUGUGGUUGAGCUCUCGUUGUAUCAGCUUGUUGGUGAGGUAAUGGCCUACCAAGUCGAUGAUAGAUAGCCGGCCUGAGAGGGGGAUGGGCCAAAGGGGGACUGGGAAAAGGGCCACACUCCAACGGGAGGCAGCAGGAGGGAGUCGUGGGCAAUGGACGAAAGGCGGAACGAGCAAGGCGGCGUGAGUGAAGAAGGUUGUCGGAUUGCAAGAUGCUGUUGGUAGAGAAGAACGUGGGUGAGAGUGGAAAGGAAAGGAAGUGACGGUAAUGAUAGAGAAAGCGACGGCUAACUACGUG